ACUCCUACGGGAGGCAGCAGUGAGGAAUAUUGGUCAAUGGACGGAAGUCUGAACCAGCCAUGCCGCGUGCAGGAAGACUGCCCUAUGGGUUGUAAACUGCUUUUACAUACGAAUAAGCUCUCAACGCGUUCGGGCAGAAG
rnacentral:rRNA from 1 species